rnacentral:rRNA from 1 species
CCUACGGGAGGCAGCAGUGGGGAAUAUUGCACAAUGGGCGAAAGCCUGAUGCAGCGACGCCGCGUGAGGGAUGACGGCCUUCGGGUUGUAAACCUCUUUCAGCAGGGAAGAAGCGAAAGUGACGGUACCUGCAGAAGAAGCGCCGGCUAACUACGUGCCAGCAGCCGCGGUAAUACGUAGGGCGCAAGCGUUGUCCGGAAUUAUUGGGCGUAAAGAGCUCGUAGGCGGCUUGUCACGUCGGGUGUGAAAGCCCGGGGCUUAACCCCGGGUCUGCAUUCGAUACGGGCUAGCUAGAGUGUGGUAGGGGAGAUCGGAAUUCCUGGUGUAGCGGUGAAAUGCGCAGAUAUCAGGAGGAACACCGGUGGCGAAGGCGGAUCUCUGGGCCAUUACUGACGCUGAGGAGCGGAAGCGUGGGGAGCGAACAGGAUUAGAUACCCUGGUAGUCCACGCCGUAAACGGUGGGAACUAGGUGUUGGCGACAUUCCACGUCGUCGGUGCCGCAGCUAACGCAUUAAGUUCCCCGCCUGGGGAUACGGCCGCAAGGCUAAAACGUCAAUGAAUUGACG